AAAUUGAAGAGUUUGAUCAUGGCUCAGAUUGAACGCUGGCGGCAGGCCUAACACAUGCAAGUCGAGCGGUAGCACAGAGAGCUUGCUCUCGGGUGACGAGCGGCGGACGGGUGAGUAAUGUCUGGGAAACUGCCUGAUGGAGGGGGAUAACUACUGGAAACGGUAGCUAAUACCGCAUAAUGUCGCAAGACCAAAGUGGGGGACCUUCGGGCCUCAUGCCAUCAGAUGUGCCCAGAUGGGAUUAGCUAGUAGGUGGGGUAAUGGCUCACCUAGGCGACGAUCCCUAGCUGGUCUGAGAGGAUGACCAGCCACACUGGAACUGAGACACGGUCCAGACUCCUACGGGAGGCAGCAGUGGGGAAUAUUGCACAAUGGGCGCAAGCCUGAUGCAGCCAUGCCGCGUGUGUGAAGAAGGCCUUCGGGUUGUAAAGCACUUUCAGCGGGGAGGAAGGCGGUAAGGUUAAUAACCUUGUCGAUUGACGUUACCCGCAGAAGAAGCACCGGCUAACUCCGUGCCAGCAGCCGCGGUAAUACGGAGGGUGCAAGCGUUAAUCGGAAUUACUGGGCGUAAAGCGCACGCAGGCGGUCUGUCAAGUCGGAUGUGAAAUCCCCGGGCUCAACCUGGGAACUGCAUUCGAAACUGGCAGGCUAGAGUCUUGUAGAGGGGGGUAGAAUUCCAGGUGUAGCGGUGAAAUGCGUAGAGAUCUGGAGGAAUACCGGUGGCGAAGGCGGCCCCCUGGACAAAGACUGACGCUCAGGUGCGAAAGCGUGGGGAGCAAACAGGAUUAGAUACCCUGGUAGUCCACGCCGUAAACGAUGUCGAUUUGGAGGUUGUGCCCUUGAGGCGUGGCUUCCGGAGCUAACGCGUUAAAUCGACCGCCUGGGGAGUACGGCCGCAAGGUUAAAACUCAAAUGAAUUGACGGGGGCCCGCACAAGCGGUGGAGCAUGUGGUUUAAUUCGAUGCAACGCGAAGAACCUUACCUGGUCUUGACAUCCACAGAACUUUCCAGAGAUGGAUUGGUGCCUUCGGGAACUGUGAGACAGGUGCUGCAUGGCUGUCGUCAGCUCGUGUUGUGAAAUGUUGGGUUAAGUCCCGCAACGAGCGCAACCCUUAUCCUUUGUUGCCAGCGGUUAGGCCGGGAACUCAAAGGAGACUGCCAGUGAUAAACUGGAGGAAGGUGGGGAUGACGUCAAGUCAUCAUGGCCCUUACGACCAGGGCUACACACGUGCUACAAUGGCAUAUACAAAGAGAAGCGACCUCGCGAGAGCAAGCGGACCUCAUAAAGUAUGUCGUAGUCCGGAUUGGAGUCUGCAACUCGACUCCAUGAAGUCGGAAUCGCUAGUAAUCGUAGAUCAGAAUGCUACGGUGAAUACGUUCCCGGGCCUUGUACACACCGCCCGUCACACCAUGGGAGUGGGUUGCAAAAGAAGUAGGUAGCUUAACCUUCGGGAGGGCGCUUACCACUUUGUGAUUCAUGACUGGGGUGAAGUCGUAACAAGGUAACCGUAGGGGAACCUGCGGUUGGAUCACCUCCUUACCUUAAAGAA
rnacentral:rRNA from 1 species